rnacentral:sRNA from 1 species
GCAGUCGAAAAAUCGGCUGUCGGGAUUGCAACCCCGCUGAAUGAAACCACGUCAAUAUACACGCCGUGAGCGUGUUUUUU